rnacentral:tRNA from 1 species
ACUAAUUUGGGCAUAAAAAGUGCAACAUAAUAUAGAAUCUUGUUAAUGUAAAUAUUAAUUUACAGUUAGUG